GGGUCAGUAGGUUGGUCGUGCCACCGGUACGUACUGGUCUCACUGAUUCCUCCUUCCUGAAGAACCGUAAUGCCGUUAAUUUGGUGUUGCGGGGAAACAGGACUGUUACUUUGAAAAAAUUAGAGUGUUUAACUCAAGCUAACGCUUGAAUACAUUAGCAUGGAAUAAUGAAGUAGGACGAUCGAUCCUAUUUUGUUGGUUUCUAGGAUUGACGUA
rnacentral:rRNA from 1 species